rnacentral:rRNA from 1 species
AACGAACGCUGGCGGCAGGCUUAACACAUGCAAGUCGAACGCCCCGCAAGGGGAGUGGCAGACGGGCGAGUAACGCGUGGGAAUCUACCUAGAUCUACGGAACAACAGUUGGAAACGACUGCUAAUACCGUAUACGCCCUACGGGGGAAAGAUUUAUCGGAUUUGGAUGAGCCCGCGUUGGAUUAGCUAGUUGGUGGGGUAAUGGCCUACCAAGGCGACGUUCGAUAGCUGGUCUGAGAGGAUGAGCAGCCACACUGGGACUGAGACACGGCCCAGACUCCUACGGGAGGCAGCAGUGGGGAAGAUUGGACAAUGGGCGCAAGCCUGAUCCAGCCAUGCCGCGUGAGUGAUGAAGGCCUUAGGGUUGUAAAGCUCUUUCACCGAUGAAGAUAAUGACGGUAGUCGGAGAAGAAGCCCCGGCUAACUUCGUGCCAGCCGCCGCAGUAAGAC